CUCACCCCCACUGUACCCCUACCCAGUCGCCGACACUCCACCACACCACACCCCUACCCCUCCCCGCCUCUGACGCCCCAUCCCCAUCACUGCCUGUCCUCCGUCGCCGCCAUUGCUGUCCGCCACCACUAAAGGUAAAAUGUUCUGUUAGAGGAGAUCUUGGACCUGCUGUAAUUCUGUUGGAAAGGUUGAUCGCUAUAUUCUUGGAAUAAAUCACCUCUAUGCAAAACCUGUAUAUAGAAAUAUGAAGGAAUGCAAUGGAUCCAACAUGCCAUCUUGGUGUUAUGCCGCUUUUGAUCCUGAAGGCAUUUUAAGCUGCUGCCACAUCCAUCAUUGGACUACAGUACGGUAACAUACUUAUCCAAUUUCAGGUGAGCCAUGGGGUCUCAUUAGCUGAAUGAUUUACGUCUGUUAGGUGCUCUAUUUCAGGAGAAGUCGAAGGAAUGCUUUCAGGUCUCAAGCAAUCCAAUAGUUCUACUUUGUUAUGGUCUCAAUUAGAAGCCUUCAUCAUUGAAAUGUACUGCACUGCAUAAUGGUGGUUUUCCAAGAAGAGUUUUCUUAUAUAGCUAAACCUUCCAGAAUAAUAUAUAUUAGCGCAGUGGAUUUCGAUUCAGCA